AAACCAAACACAGCAGGGCAGGGUGGUCCCCACUAAGACACAGGCAUCCACGAGGGCCACUGGGGCACCAGAGAGGCCUCUAAAUAAGACCUGAAAUGGCAGAAGUAUGAAAUAACAGACAUCAUCAACCAAGACAGAAAAAUGGUUACAGAGGAGCUGGAGGUUGUCGUCAACAGCUGGAAGACUCAGCUGGGAAGCCAUCAAACCUGCCAAUGACCACGAGCCCCUGCACGCUUUGAUGGCGUCUCCGGAGGUCCUGAGCCAGAACCACCCGGCCAACCUUCCUUUUCUCACACGGUUAUCAGCAUGAAAAUUCCUGCUUUCUAUUCCAGUCCCUGCAAAGUUGCUCACAUAAAGAAAGGUGAAU
ensembl:lncRNA